CUUUGAUUUUGCGGCCGAAAUCUUUCUCGCGGACCAUUUUUUAAAAUCACUUAAAAAUCAUGUGUGAGUUUGUACCUGAGACCAGAUUGACCAUAGUCCAGUUCUAAUAGCUGAUAUAUGAAACUGUAGUACAGGAUAUAAAACUGUUGCGGCUAUUCCAAUUACAGCGCUUAUUCCUCGUGCUAUUCCAAUAACAUAUGCAGGUAUACCUUCCCAUUCUAAGGUGGCUGUCAUCAAAGUUCCAAAGCUGAAGCAAGUAAUUGGAAUUUUAUCAGUGAUGCUUCUUCAUUCCUAACUUACAUCAAUGGAAUUUAAUAGCUUUUGAAGUAGAGUUACAUAUUCCUUUAUGAACAUGUCAUGUUUUAAACAUUGGUAGAAAAGGCUAAUUUCAGACUAGGGUCAUGCUUGGAUAAACAGCUUAGUUAAGCGCUUAUAGCAUAAACUCUUAUCAUAUAAGUGCUUAUCUAUAAGUCCUCUUUAUAACAAAAGAUAAAAAUAAAGUCAAACUGUUUUCACAUAAGCUAUAAGUUAAUUGUGUAAGCUAUCUCGGAUAGCUUAUGGACAUGUCAUAACAGGUUUUCAUAAGCUCUCCCGAAACUUAAAAGUGCGCUUAUGCUUAGUAGAUAAGCUCAAAUAAGUCAAUCCAAACAGAUCCUAGAUUUCCUUCCUAUUGUUUUUCGUAAGCUCUUACCUGAGUACAGUGAAAAAUAGCAAAGCCAGGGCUAGUCCGGGAAGGACCACUUCUUGCUGCAAAUAAACUCUCCAAGCAUCAACGUAAGAGAUUUUCGAAAUCCACUCAGAAAUUGUUUUCCUGCCUUUUCCAUCUGCCAAUUCCGAGCUAUCACCGUCACCGGUAACAUUAAGCAAACUAUCUCCCUCAGAAGUUGAAUUGUUCCUUUCAAGAUCACUUUGCAACGAAAGCCUUUCCAUUCUCCUUUGGCUACUUUGACACAAAGCUGGAAUUCCAUUAUACACUGAUGUAAAAAGCCAAUAUUCCACCCAAACAGAAACACCAUUCCAAAGUGCUAGAGUUAUAGCUGAUGCUUUAAGUGAUACAAAACUUAUUAUGAAACCAGUUAUAACAGGUGCAAGUAACUUGCAGGUUAGAUCAAUUCGUCUCGUAACCGAAUUCAUCUCUGUCAGCAGUUCGGACGGUUGACCUUCGGAUAUAACCAACAACCUGCACAAUAAAAACUUAAAAAAUCAAUUAUCAUUUAUUUUCUUCAGCUAAUAAUAUUAAUCAAUUUUCAUUAAAGCUUAAAAAAUGUUACCAUUCUCUUUCUAUCAGGAUAGUACCAGUAAGAGUUGAAAGCACUCCAAUUCCACCACAGAUAUUAAUUAUCACAACCAAGAGUAAGAAAAUUGGGAAAUUUGUAAACUUCAAAGAUGAAUAGACAAGUAAGGCAACGACAGUGGCACCGGCAAUAAUAAAAGAGAGAUUUUGUGUCACCAACCAUAAUUUCAAAACCUGUCAAUAAAAAUAUGAAGAAAGUGUUACUCUUCAAUAAAGACACAUAUGUAGCUGCAUUUUUUAUCUUCAAAUUUUGUCCAUAUCUCAUUGUUUAGAUAGUAAAUGAAAAGAAUCUUAAGUAUAUGUUAAGAUUAACAUAAAGGGAAAAAAUUAAGACUUAACUUUUGAGAAGAAAAGUACAAAGGAAAGAUCUUAAGUUUGUUUUUAGCUUCAUGGAUGUAUCAAUCCAAUACAACGGAUUCUGGAUAUUCAAUCUCUCUAUUCCUUUCCGGUACACAAGUGAAAGAUAAUUGGUCCAGGGUUUUAAAUAGAGGUCUACGACCAUGAUUUAGACACAAUAUCAAGAUUUUACACGUCUCUGCGACCACAACGUGACUUAACUCACAUUUGACUACGAUUCUCUAUAAUAUCAAGGAUCAAGACGCAGCUGCGCAACCGCGAUUUAAAACCUCAAUUACUUCAAAGAUAUAUCUAUAUUAUGCUAUAAGAUAUGCAUAAAAAGAAGAUAUAACAAAAUUUGGGAUCACACCUUUUGAUAAGUCAAUUUAUCAACCCAAGUUCCAAUUAUUGGACCAAACAAUGCAAUGGAAGCAGAUUCAACAGCACCAUAUAUUGCUGCAUACAGCAGUGAGUCUGGCCAAAUACUGAUCAUAUAUAAACCAACAGAAAAUUCCCACAUUCUACACACACAAAAAUUAUUAUAGUAAAAAUCUCAAGCAAAAACAAAUUAUGAUUUCAUAGGACAAUAAAAAUAAUUUCAAUUCACCCUUUUUGCUGAAUGAAUAAUUGAACUAUAUAUGAAUGAUGAAUAAUAUAAUAAACAAUGAUAUGAAAUGAAAUUGAAGAACCUUGAACCCCAUCUAGCUAAAAAGUGACCAAUGUAUAAAUAAGUGAUGAGAGAAGAAGGAAAAUCUGGUUCUUGGGAUAGCAAAGUUUCCCUCAAAAUUUCUCUUUCAUCCAUUUAUCAAUAUCAAGAAGAGUCUUCCCCUCACUAGUUUUGAAUACUACUAGUAGUAUUUAGUAUCACAAUGGUUAUCAUAUAUAGGUUCAUAAUAACCAAGCAACAUGCAUUUUGUCUCAUUAAUGUGUCAAUAUUUAUAUGUUUAUCUUUUUACGAGAAUAAUUUAUGGUGAGGGGAUGAUGCCUGAUUUAAAUACGAAAGACUUUCAACCAUAAAGUUCAAAGAAUAUUUACAAAGAGUUACAUUUAGCGGGACUCAAACACAUAACCUUGAAAUCCAUUGUUCGUCUCUAUUUUUUAUUAUUAAAGCAAUGGCUUAUUAAUGUGUUUAAUACUAAAUGAUAACUUCAAUAAUACUAACCAUCCUAAUACCAAUAGUAAAGAUUUGACUCAUAUUUUUAUAAAUAUUUAGGUUCAAAUGUCAUUGUAAUAUGAUUUAUUUUUUAUGGUUUCUUGUAGGUUCCAUCUACAUGCAGUAACCUUAUUUGAGGUAUGUUAGAUACUAAAUUUAUAUUAUUCUUGCAGACAAAAAAAUAAAAUAUUUUUGUAUUGCUUGAGUCUAUCAUUUUCUACUAGAUCUAAUUUUGUUGAUGUUUAUGUGAAAAUUUUACAUUGAAAUAAUUUUACACCUAUAAAACAAGGGAUCUGAAUUUUAUUNNNNNNNNNNNNNNNNNNNNNNNNNNNNNNNNNNNNNNNNNNNNNNNNNNNNNNNCAGUCAAUAUGUUUCAGAUCGUCUGAUCUUGAUCGAAUAUGGUCCAGAUGUUAUUUCAGAAUAUAUAUUAAAUAAACAUACAAAACUGGUUAAGAUCUAAAUCGUCUAGUCUUAAUUAGACGAUUCUAAAUUGCUAACCGCAUGUGAUACAAUUCUAUCAAACAACCAACAAAUUAUAUUCUACUUUCUACUCACUUUCUUUUUAUUUUAUUUCCUUUAACAAUCUUUUCCUUACAUUUUCCUUUUUCAUGGAAACAACGUAUAAGAGUACUGAAUUUCAAAAAAAGAAAGAAAAGUAUAAUAGUACUGUAUUAGUUUACUCAAGUAUUACUACUCCCUCCGAUCCUUAAUAUAAGAUAAAUUUUACUUUUUAGAUUCAUUGAUAAUUUAAUGUAUCUAAUCAAUAAUAUAGAUUAAAUACAUUAGAUUAUCGAUCAAUCUAAAAAGUAAGAUUUCUCUUUAAGAACCAAGAGAAUAUUACACAAAAAUUUCGCUGACUAAAAUGCUGGAAUCUUAGUUGUGACAAUGAGACAAAGAACGAGUCUAUGUCUUCUGCAUUUGUAGCCACGUCAGCCAAACUUGGAAGGAAAAAUAAAAAUUGAAUAAUGUCUGCAACAAAUGUUUCACAAUUUUUUGACACUUUGUUUUGCUCAUGAUAAGGUUUUAAUGUUUAUCAUUUUUCAUGCACGUCAUGACUCAUGAAUUAUGCUGCUUGCCAUCAACAUGACGGCGAAGUUUAUAAAAUUAAUAACUACUCCCUCUAGUCAUUGAUAUAAGAUGAAGUUUGUUUUUUAAUUUAUUGAGAACCUAAUGUAUUUGGCCUGUAAUAUAAUUAGAUACAUUAGAUUUUCAAUGAAUCUAAAAAGUAAAUUUCCUCCUAUAUUAAAAAUCGUAGGGAGUAUUUGAUUUGAUGAUAAAGUUGAGUGUGUUUGAUCUGCUAAAAAACAAAGGACUGGACAAGACAAUUUUUAUUGCACCUUGUCUGAUUUGAAACUGGUUAUGGGACAGGACAAAAACAAGAUUUUUUGUCCCUCAUUGAACCACGGGACAACUUUUUGUCUACCGUACAACUAUAAAAAAUACGAAAAUACUCAUUUUAUUUUCGAAUAUAAAAAUAUUAUCGUCCUAUAUCUCUCUGGUAUAGUUUUGUCCUGUAUUAUCUUAUUCUGUCAUGUACUGUUCUGUCCAGUCAUUACUGUUUUACGAAGUUUCAUCCAUAACAUCCAAAUCAGUCUCCAUAACGUGCUCCAAGACGAAGUUUCAUCCCAACUGCGCCAAACCUCCCAAAGAGGUCCACAAACGGAAGCCAGAACAAUAGCAUGAUUGACAUCAAUUCAAUACAAGUUACAUAUUUAUUUUCUGUUGUUUUAAUCGAACUGAUAUUAGUUGAUCGUAAAAAUGAAGAUGAUAAUUAACUUAUCCUUUUAAACAAUAACCUAUAUAUUCAUUGAAGAUUAGAAUUUAUCAAUUAUAAAUAUUUGACUUUAACAAAAAUGGACAAAAAUUAACUAGUUUUGAAUUUGUGUUUAUUUUUAUUAGGGGCCUAAUUUUUAAGAUUAUAAUAUGACCUCCAGGUUGUUUGGGACAGCCCUAUACCCCCACAAGUUCCCCGACGGAAAUUAAUCACUACUAAAUAUUAAUGAAAACUUUGUGCAUAAAACGUGGAAAAUAAAAUAAAAUAAAAUGAUAGAUAUUUUUUAUUAAUUUGACUUUAACAAUACUCAAAUUGAUAGAUCUUACCAAUCAUAAUUAUUCAAAUGCUUUUAACUCUCAACAUAAAAGAAAAAUGCAUUUCUAGAAGCAAUCUGACUCAGAAGGGGCAUUUGAUCUUAUGCAGAAAAGAAUGGAAUUAAUUAAGUCUAAAAAGCAAGAUGACUAUCCAAAAUUUAAUCCUAAAGCCUAUCAUUCCUUUACCAUUGUGUAGAUAUUAACUCACCCAAAUGGUAUGAAAAGUGAAAACAAGAAUCCGGCUUCACCACAGUGGCGGCGACUCUAGCAUAAGGCGAGGCAAACCCUUACUUUAGANNNNNNNNNNNNNNNNNNNNNNNNNNNNNNNNACCCUCGGGCCACCUUACUCAGCCUCCUAUACGCUGCCCACUGAUUUUAUGGUUUCACCUUCACUCUGAUGUCCAACAAAAAUGGCACAGAAACUUCUCUUAUGAUUUGUUUACUUUGAGACCUCGUCUAGUUUUUUAGGCCUCAACUUGCGUUGGUUCGGCCCCCAACUUAUGAUGCUGAUGUAGAAAAAUUACACCAUAUAGUUUGUCAAAGUGAAAGAUAUGCCUCCGUACACGGAACACAUGGAUGCAGUAGAGGAAUGCAGCUAAUGUGACUCCCAGAAAUGAUAAUAAACUCAACUUCCAAAACUCCUGAGCAGAUUAAGAUAACAGGAUCAGAUUCAAGGCUAUAGCAAUAUUUUUACAGGAUAUAAGAUUGAAAAUACAAGUAAAAUCGAGGUUGCCCUCAUUUAGAAAAGAUGGUAGGAUCUCGUGCUAGGUGGUUUGGACAUGUGUAGAAAAGCUCGGUAAGAAGAGUUCAUUAGAUGGAGAAUAGAACAAAGUUAGAGGUAUAGAGAAUCAAAUGACAACUAUAGGUCAAACCAUUAAAAAGGAUUUAGAGGUAAAUAGACGGAUUUUAUAGAUAUACAAUGUCGAUGUAAAGAUAUCGGAUCAUUAAUUAUAUCUACCUUUAAAGUCAUAGAAGGAUGAUUUUUGAUUGGUUGACAGUGUAAUAUUUUAUAUUGAAAGUGUAUCAAAAUUAAUCUCUUAAUAGAUUAUUUGUUUAUUUAAUGUGUGGCAGAUUCGAUUGAUGUCUAUUGAUCGAUAUAGCGAACUUCACCAAGGUAAUAUACAUAUUUGGGUUGGAAGAGAAUAUUAUUAGUUUUUAAGCUCACCUGUGGAUCAGAUAUUAUGAUUCCCAUAACAUAGGCCAAUAAAUCCAUAAAUGACUGAAGUGAAUUCUGAACACCUCCAACAAUCAACCGAUCCGAUUCGGGAACAAGGUUCUAUUCAAGAAAAUUGAAAUAAAAAUAAUCAGAUAAGGGUAAAAAGAAAACUAUGAAGAAUCAGAACUUUGAUUCAUCAUGAGCCACUAAGGGUUAUUUCUUGCCUGCAUUUGCUGAAUUACAGAUAAGUCAAACAUCCACAGUCCGAGCCGAGAUAUUGAGACACUUCCCAUCAAAAUAUAUGAUGAUAAAAUGCCAUUUUGGAUCCACAUUGCAACUAAACAAGGGAGUAGGCAUGUCCACUGCAUCAAAAUCAUACAUAAACGUGUAAAUAUUUUUGCAUAAUUGACCAGAACACAUAACCAAAGUUUUAAAUUACGGUCGCAUUGACAUCAAAAACUUUGAUAUUGCGGCAUUUUUUAGAAUCUUGCAUAACAUGUCACUUAUGCAAUUUAAAUUCAUUUUGUGAGUUUGUACCUGAGACCAGAUAGACCAAAGUCCAGUUCUAAUAGCUGAUAUAUGAUGCUGUAGCACAGGAUAUAAAACUGUUGCCGCUAUUCCAAUUACAGCGCUUAUUCCUCGUGCUAUUCCAAUAACAUAUGCAGGUAUACCUUCCCAUUCUAAGGUGGCUGUCAUCAAAGUUCCAAAGCUG
rnacentral:lncRNA from 1 species